GAUAGGGAGUUAUGGAACUCCAUAUGGAGCGGUGGAAUGCGUAGAUAUAUGGAAGAACACCUGUGGCGAAAGCGAGAACUUAGGUCACAACUGACGCUUAGGCUCGAAAAGUGUGGGGAGCAAAUAGGAUUAGAUACCCUAGUAGUCCACACCGUAAACGAUGGUUAUUAGUUGUUGGUACGAAGUACUAGUAACGAAGCUAACGCAUUAAAUAACCCGCCUGGGGAGUACAUUUGCAAGAAUGAAACUCAAACGGAAUUGACGGGGACCCGCACAAGCGGUGGAGCAUGUUGUUUAAUUCCACAGUACACCAAGAACCUUACCAGGGUUUGACAUCCUC
rnacentral:rRNA from 1 species